UUGGAGGGCAAGUCUGGUGCCAGCAGCCGCGGUAAUUCCAGCUCCAAUAGCGUAUAUUAAAGUUGUUGCAGUUAAAAAGCUCGUAGUUGAAUUUCAGGCCUGGCUGGACGGUCCGCCCUUCGGGUGAGUACUGUCUGUGGUCGGGUCCUACCUUCUGGCGAAGCGUCAUGGCCUUAACCGGCCGUGGCGGGGAACCAGGACUUUUACUGUGAAAAAAUUAGAGUGUUCAAAGCAGGCCUUCGCUCGAAUAUAUUAGCAUGGAAUAAUAGAAUAGGACGUAUGGUUCUAUUUUGUUGGUUUCUAGGACCGUCGUAAUGAUUAAUAGGGACAGUCGGGGGCAUCAGUAUUCAGUUGUCAGAGGUGAAAUUCUUGGAUUUACUGAAGACUAACUACUGCGAAAGCAUCUGCCAAGGAUGUUUUCAUUAAUCAAGAACGAAAGUUAGGGGAUCGAAGACGAUCAGAUACCGUCGUAGUCUUAACCAUAAACUAUGCCGACUAGGGAUCGAGCGAUGUUCUAUUUUGACUCGCUCGGCACCCUAUGGGAAACCAAAG
rnacentral:rRNA from 1 species